rnacentral:misc_RNA from 1 species
GAUGAAGAACGCAGCGAAAUGCGAUAAGUUAUGUGAAUUGCAGAAUUCAGUGAAUCAUCGAAUCUUUGAACGCACAUUGCGCCCGCCAGUAUUCUGGCGGGCAUGCCUGUUCGAGCGUCAUUUCAACCAUCAAGCCCCAGGCUUGUGUUGGGGACCUGCGGCUGCCGCAGGCCCUGAAAACCAGUGGCGGGCUCGCUGUCACACCGGGCGUAGUAGAUUUUAUCUCGCUCAGGGCGUGCUGCGGGUUCCGGCCGUUAAAAAGCCUUUUUUACCCAAGGUUGACCUCGGAUCAGGUAGGAAUACCCGCUGAACUUAAGCAUAUCAAUAAGCGGAGGA